rnacentral:rRNA from 1 species
CCUACGGGAGGCAGCAGUGGGGAAUUUUGGACAAUGGGGGAAACCCUGAUCCAGCCAUGCCGCGUGAGUGAAGAAGGCCUUCGGGUUGUAAAGCUCUUUCGGCUGGGAAGAAAUCGCACAGGCUAAUACUCUGUGUGGAUGACGGUACCAGCACAAGAAGCACCGGCUAACUACGUGCCAGCAGCCGCGGUAAUACGUAGGGUGCGAGCGUUAAUCGGAAUUACUGGGCGUAAAGCGUGCGCAGGCGGUUGUGCAAGACAGAUGUGAAAUCCCCGGGCUCAACCUGGGAACUGCAUUUGUGACUGCACGACUAGAGUACGGCAGAGGGGGGUAGAAUUCCACGUGUAGCAGUGAAAUGCGUAGAGAUGUGGAGGAAUACCGAUGGCGAAGGCAGCCCCCUGGGUCGAUACUGACGCUCAUGCACGAAAGCGUGGGGAGCAAACAGGAUUAGAUACCCCGGUAGUCCACGCCCUAAACGAUGUCAACUAGUUGUUGGUAGGGUUAAACCUAUUAGUAACGUAGCUAACGCGUGAAGUUGACCGCCUGGGGAGUACGGUCGCAAGAUUAAAACUCAAAGGAAUUGACGG